AUGAACGCUAGCGGCAGGCCUAACACAUGCAAGUCGAGGGGCAGCGGGAUUGAAGCUUGCUUCAAUUGCCGGCGACCGGCGCACGGGUGCGUAACGCGUAUGCAACCUACCCAUAACAGGGGGAUAACACUGAGAAAUCGGUACUAAUAUCCCAUAACAUCAAGAGGGGCAUCCCUUUUGGUUGAAAACUCCGGUGGUUAUGGAUGGGCAUGCGUUGUAUUAGCUAGUUGGUGAGGUAACGGCUCACCAAGGCGACGAUACAUAGGGGGACUGAGAGGUUAACCCCCCACAUUGGUACUGAGACACGGACCAAACUCCUACGGGAGGCAGCAGUGAGGAAUAUUGGUCAAUGGACGCAAGUCUGAACCAGCCAUGCCGCGUGCAGGAUGACGGCUCUAUGAGUUGUAAACUGCUUUUGUACGAGGGUAAACCCGGAUACGUGUAUCCGGCUGAAAGUAUCGUACGAAUAAGGAUCGGCUAACUCCGUGCCAGCAGCCGCGGUAAUACGGAGGAUUCAAGCGUUAUCCGGAUUUAUUGGGUUUAAAGGGUGCGUAGGCGGUUUGAUAAGUUAGAGGUGAAAUACCGGUGCUUAACACCGGAACUGCCUCUAAUACUGUUGAGCUAGAGAGUAGUUGCGGUAGGCGGAAUGUAUGGUGUAGCGGUGAAAUGCUUAGAGAUCAUACAGAACACCGAUUGCGAAGGCAGCUUACCAAACUAUAUCUGACGUUGAGGCACGAAAGCGUGGGGAGCAAACAGGAUUAGAUACCCUGGUAGUCCACGCAGUAAACGAUGAUAACUCGCUGUCGGCGAUACACAGUCGGUGGCUAAGCGAAAGCGAUAAGUUAUCCACCUGGGGAGUACGUUCGCAAGAAUGAAACUCAAAGGAAUUGACGGGGGCCCGCACAAGCGGUGGAGCAUGUGGUUUAAUUCGACGCAACGCGAAGAACCUUACCAGGUCUUGACAUCGAUCUAAAGGCUCCAGAGAUGGAGAGAUAGUUAUAGAGAAGACAGGUGGUGCAUGGUUGUCGUCAGCUCGUGCCGUGAGGUGUCGGGUUAAGUCCCAUAACGAGCGCAACCCCUACCGUUAGUUGCCAUCAGGUCAAGCUGGGCACUCUGGCGGGACUGCCGGUGUAAGCCGAGAGGAAGGUGGGGAUGACGUCAAAUCAGCACGGCCCUUACGUCCGGGGCUACACACGUGUUACAAUGGUAGGUACAGAGGGCAGCUACCCAGUGAUGGGAUGCGAAUCUCGAAAGCCUAUCUCAGUUCGGAUUGGAGGCUGAAACCCGCCUCCAUGAAGUUGGAUUCGCUAGUAAUCGCGCAUCAGCCAUGGCGCGGUGAAUACGUUCCCGGGCCUUGUACACACCGCCCGUCAAGCCAUGGAAGCUGGGGGUGCCUGAAGUUCGUGACCGCAAGGAGCGACCUAGGGCAAAACCGGUGACUGGGGCU
rnacentral:rRNA from 1 species